GACAGAGGGUGCAAACGUUGCUCGGAAUCACUGGGCGUAAAGGGCGCGUAGGCGGCCUGUUAAGUCGAACGUGAAAUCCCCGGGCUCAACCCGGGAACUGCGUCCGAUACUGGCAGGCUUGAAUUCGGGAGAGGGAUGUGGAAUUCCAGGUGUAGCGGUGAAAUGCGUAGAUAUCUGGAGGAACACCGGUGGCGAAGGCGGCAGCCUGGACCGAUAUUGACGCUGAUGCGCGAAAGCCAGGGGAGCAAACGGG
rnacentral:rRNA from 1 species